rnacentral:lncRNA from 1 species
AGAGGUUAUGGAUGGAGGCUCUCUAAUUGCAGUACACGUGUGUAUCAACCCAGACUACUACCUCCUAGAGCCUAACUUGAGGUAUGAUUGAAAGAACAUCCUCUUCUGGGGAACAGCCACAAUACCUACCAUAUGUUCCUGGAAUAAUUACUUUCUUUCUGCAUAAAUUAGAAUGACUCCUGCCUGCUACAUUUCCCCAGAUACCCAGGACCUUCAUGCUGUCACUCUCCAUGACCUGACCAACAUCUAUUUUGAGAAAUUAUUUUAUAUACUCAUUCAAACAGUCAUCUUUUGUGUCCAGAGUUGGUUCCUUCUGGUGGGUUCGUGGUCUCGCUAACUUCAAGAAUGGAGCCACGGACCUUCGCGACACUUCUAUUUAAACUUCUUGGAAGGAUAUCUCAAUAACAUUCCUUUGCUGAGGACCAUAAGAUAGAAGAUGAGAAUCCAUCUGCCCUCUUCUCUGCACCCAGGCUUCAAUCCUGUUUGAUCAUGCAGGGGCUACAAGGCCUUCGACACAAAGAACUUGUCUUAGAUUCUAAUCAGUUUAACAAAUAGGACAGACAGCUGCUGAGCACUGUCUGAGUGACACUGAUUUACAUACAAAUGAACCACCAAUGUCCCCUUCUAUCAACUCAGAAUAAAAUCUGGUUUUAGCAUAUGCAGUCCUACGAGACAUGGUUAAAGGAUAUGAAUGAUAGAUAGAGAUAAAAGAAAUCAAGGACCAUUCCUCCACAAGUCUCCAAAGAGGAAAACAACAAUCGAAGAAAAAAGAGUGAGAGAACA